UGAUAUUUUUCAGGACCGUGAACAAGCGAUCGAGUGGAUGCAAAAGCGGGCUCUUCUGCAGCCGGUUCAAUUGUGCCCGAGAUGUCCAAAGGAAAUGAAGCUAACUCCCUACAAAAGCAUCGACGGCUACAGGUAUGUAUGUCCCGACUACAAAUGCGGCGGGACCAGCAGCAUCCGGGCCAGGUCCAUAUUUGCCAACCACAAGGCUUCGCUUAGGAGCCUUGUGCGUUGUUGUUACGAGUGGGCCAAUGGGGCCAACUCAACUCGUUGUGCGUUGGAGACUGGCCUCUCCCACAACACGGUUCUCUCGUGGUACGAUACGAUCCGAAGUUUUCUUUGGGAAACAUUCGAUCGUACACGAGAGAAGAUAGGGGGCCCUGGCAUGACGGUGGAAAUCGACGAAACUGUCAUCACUCGUCGAAAGUACAACGUCGGCCGGGUCGGUAGUUCCGGUCCUCAGUGGCUUGUUGGUGGGAUAUGCCGGGAAAAUAAGGCCAUUUUCCUGGAGCGUGUCCCGAAACGCUCGCUUGCCGUUUUGAGCGAUCUGGUGGUUCGGCAUGUUGAACCCGGAACGAAAAUUAUGACCGAUCUCUGGAAAGGUUAUAAUGGGCUGGAGGAGCUUGGAUAUCCCCACGAAUGUGUCAACCACUCCAGAAAUUUCCUCAAUCCAGAUGAUAACAAUAUCAACACACAACGGAUUGAGAAUGUUUGGAGAUGGUUGAAGGCAUUUUUGAGAAAACAAGGCACUAAUAUUAAAAGCAACAUGGACAAAUAUUUUGCUGAGCAUAUCUUCCGGAGAUGCAAUGAUGAUGUGUUUGUCGCCUUGAUAGAUGCCUUGGGGAACCAAAUCGAACAUUUUUAAUAAUUAGUUUUCUUUUUUUUAAGCAGGUACACUCAAAGCAGAUUCUCAUUUGGUCCAGAGAAGCUUAGCUGCGAAACGGACCCAAGGAGGAGGUUUCGAUGGCACCUUGCUAAGGUGUAUUCUACAUUUCCCCUCCUUGUAAAAAAAAAAAGAAAUUAAAUUUUAAAACAAAUCCCUUUCUAAGAUUUUAAGGCAGCGCAGUUAAAAACAUCGUUUUUUUUAUCGGGGGUUUUCCCCUGCGGUAAGUAAUUCUAGAUCAUAGCGAUCGGCUUGCACGAGAUGAUAACCCCAUUUCCUUCGUUUCCUAACACUUUCUAUUUGCAUGCCUCCUGCCGCACGAGCUCGCCGACCUACGCGUCGAUCCGGUUUUAAGUGGCAAGCGGGAUAAGGGAUAGAUCUAGUACACCGCAUACCAUCCGACCGAUUUCCCCAAUCGGUAGCACACCUCACUAGUCGAGGGGGUUUCCCCUGCGGUAAGUAUUGAUACAUCAUAGCGAUCGGUUUGCAAGAGACAAUGUAGGCAGUUUAUUAAUAUUUUUUUUAUUUUUCUUACUAUUUGCAUGCCUCUUGCCGCACGAGCUCGCCGACCUACGCGUCGAUCCGGAUUUAAGUGGCAGCGGGAAAAGGAAUCUACAACGCCAACCAUCCGACAGUGUUCACGAUAAGAAAGGAAACGUCUCUUAUCGUGGGGUUUCCCCUGCGGUAAGUUAUUUCACAUCACCAGUACAAGACGGUAACAAAAUUUGUAAACUUAAAUGUUUCUUUUUUUUGCAUGUUCCCUACCGCAUGAGUUCGUGCUACAUGUUGGAAUUACACGCGAAAUGAUAGAGAAUCGUUUUUCAGUACACAUGCCACAACACACUAUCGGUAUUCGUUUUCCUUCAUCUAACUGUAAGAAACAGUCACUGCGCAACAUCCUACGAUAGCCAAGCAUAUAGACGAAACAUUAAUGUUGUAUCAUGCUAACCCGUGACAGGCAAGUGCUCAGUAACUCACGCACGUCCUUCAACGCACACAUCAUGAAACAUCUGGUGAAUGAGAUUGCUGAGCAAAACACUCACCAAAUGGAAUAGAAUGGAUGAGUUUAUUUUAUGCAUCAUGUACCUCCCUUUUUGCCUUAUAAUGUGACCAGUGCCUUAUUUUUUUCUUUUGUUUUAUGUUAGCAUAGGAUUAGUAUUAGUAUUAGUUUGGUUUAAUUAGAUAUAAGAUUUUAUUGUGCUAAUAUACGCAUGGACUAUUGAAACA